rnacentral:tRNA from 1 species
GGUGGCUCAGUGGUAGAGUACUUGCCUUGCAUGCAUGAAGCCCUGGGUUCGAUUCUUCAGCACCA